rnacentral:rRNA from 1 species
CCUACGGGAGGCAGCAGUGGGGAAUCUUGCACAAUGGGGGAAACCCUGAUGCAGCGACGCCGCGUGAGUGAAGAAGUACUUCGUUAUGUAAAGCUCUAUCAGCAGGGAAGAAAAUGACGGUACCUGAGUAAGAAUCCCCGGCUAACUACGUGCCAGGCGACGCGGUGAUACGUAGGGGGCCAGAGUUAUUCAGAUUUACUUGGUGGAAAGGGUUCGUAGACGGCAGUGCAUGUCUGGAGUGAAAGGCGGGGGCUCAACCCCCGGACUGCUCUGGAAACUGUACGGCUGGAGUGCAGGAGAGGUAAGUGGAAUUCCUAGUGUAGCGGUGAAAUGCGUAGAUAUUAGGAGGAACACCAGUGGCGAAGGCGGCUUACUGGACUGUAACUGACGUUGAGGCUCGAAAGCGUGGGGAGCAAACAGGAUUAGAUACCCUAGUAGUC